rnacentral:rRNA from 1 species
GAUGAACGCUGGCGGCGUGCCUAAUACAUGCAAGUCGAGCGAACAGACGAGGAGCUUGCUCCUUUGACGUUAGCGGCGGACGGGUGAGUAACACGUGGGUAACCUACCUAUAAGACUGGGAUAACUUCGGGAAACCGGAGCUAAUACCGGAUAAUAUAUUGAACCGCAUGGUUCAAUAGUGAAAGACGGUUUUGCUGUCACUUAUAGAUGGAUCUGCGCCGCAUUAGCUAGUUGGUAAGGUAACGGCUUACCAAGGCAACGAUACGUAGCCGACCUGAGAGGGUGAUCGGCCACACUGGAACUGAGACACGGUCCAGACUCCUACGGGAGGCAGCAGUAGGGAAUCUUCCGCAAUGGGCGAAAGCCUGACGGAGCAACGCCGCGUGAGUGAUGAAGGUCUUCGGAUCGUAAAACUCUGUUAUUAGGGAAGAACAAAUGUGUAAGUAACUAUGCACGUCUUGACGGUACCUAAUCAGAAAGCCACGGCUAACUACGUG